GCAAAGAGGGAUACGAUGUAACUCUCUGGAUCCGAAGCGGAGGUAAAGUAAUAAGUCGAGAUAUCGUUUCAGUCGCCCUUUAGAUUUCUGGUUGGCGAUUCGAUUGUUGACUCGACCACAU